GAUGAACGCUAGCGGGAGGCCUAACACAUGCAAGCCGAGCGGUAUUGUUUCUUCGGAAAUGAGAGAGCGGCGUACGGGUGCGGAACACGUGUGCAACCUGCCUUUAUCUGGGGGAUAGCCUUUCGAAAGGAAGAUUAAUACUCCAUAACAUAUUGAUUGGCAUCAAUUAAUAUUGAAAGCUCCGGCGGAUAGAGAUGGGCACGCGCAAGAUUAGCUAGUUGGUGAGGUAACGGCUCACCAAGGCGAUGAUCUUUAGGGGGCCUGAGAGGGUGAUCCCCCACACUGGUACUGAGACACGGACCAGACUCCUACGGGAGGCAGCAGUGAGGAAUAUUGGUCAAUGGGUGCAAGCCUGAACCAGCCAUCCCGCGUGAAGGACGACUGCCCUAUGGGUUGUAAACUUCUUUUGUAUAGGGAUAAACCUACCCUCGUGAGGGUAGCUGAAGGUACUAUACGAAUAAGCACCGGCUAACUCCGUGCCAGCAGCCGCGGUAACAC
rnacentral:rRNA from 1 species